GGGACAUAUGAAAUUUCAGCCUCAUCAACCCUUUGUGACAUACCUCAACUGUUGCUUCGGCGGGUAGGCGUCCCCUAAAAAGGACGUCUCCCGGCCCUCUCCCGUCCGCGGGUGGGGCGCCCGCCGGAGGAUAACCAAACUCUGAUUUAACGACGUUUCUUCUGAGUGACACAAGCAAAUAAUCAAAACUUUUAACAACGGAUCUCUUGGUUCUGGCAUCGAUGAAGAACGCAGCGAAAUGCGAUAAGUAAUGUGAAUUGCAGAAUUCAGUGAAUCAUCGAAUCUUUGAACGCACAUUGCGCCCGCCAGCAUUCUGGCGGGCAUGCCUGUUCGAGCGUCAUUUCAACCCUCAAGCUCUGCUUGGUGUUGGGGCUCUACGGUUGACGUAGGCCCUUAAAGGUAGUGGCGGACCCUCUCGGAGCCUCCUUUGCGUAGUAACAUUUCGUCUCGCAUUGGGAUUCGGAGGGACUCUAGCCGUAAAACCCCCAAUUUUACUAAGGUUGACCUCGGAUCAGGUAGGAAUACCCGCUGAACUUAAGCAUAUCAAUAAGGCGGAGGAA
rnacentral:rRNA from 1 species